rnacentral:rRNA from 1 species
UACGGGGGGGGCAAGCGUUGUUCGGAAUUACUGGGCGUAAAGGGUUUGUAGGUGGCUUGUUAAGUCAGACGUGAAAUCCCUCAGCUUAACUGGGGAACUGCGUCUGAUACUGGCGAGCUUGAGUGCAGGAGAGGAACGCGGAAUUCCAGGUGUAGCGGUGAAAUGCGUAGAUAUCUGGAGGAACACCGGUGGCGAAGGCGGCAUCCUGGACCGGUAUUGACGCUGAUGCGCGAAAGCCAGGGGAGCAAACGGG